GAUGAACGCUGGCGGCGUGCCUAAUACAUGCAAGUCGAGCGAACGGACGAGAAGCUUGCUUCUCUGAUGUUAGCGGCGGACGGGUGAGUAACACGUGGAUAACCUACCUAUAAGACUGGGAUAACUUCGGGAAACCGUAGCUAAUACCGGAUAAUAUUUUGAACCGCAUGGUUCAAAAGUGAAAGACGGUUUUGCUGUCACUUAUAGAUGGAUCCGCGCUGCAUUAGCUAGUUGGUAAGGUAACGGCUUACCAAGGCAACGAUGCAUAGCCGACCUGAGAGGGUGAUCGGCCACACUGGAACUGAGACACGGUCCAGACUCCUACGGGAGGCAGCAGUAGGGAAUCUUCCGCAAUGGGCGAAAGCCUGACGGAGCAACGCCGCGUGAGUGAUGAAGGUCUUCGGAUCGUAAAACUCUGUUAUUAGGGAAGAACAUAUGUGUAAGUAACUAUGCACAUCUUGACGGUACCUAAUCAGAAAGCCACGGCUAACUACGUG
rnacentral:rRNA from 1 species